rnacentral:antisense_RNA from 1 species
CUUCACCGACCCCAGCCACAACGGCCGUUCGUCGUCCCGCCCCUGCCCGUACGUGGCCAGCAGAGCAUCCGCCUC